CCUACGGGAGGCAGCAGUAAGGAAUAUUGGUCAAUGGACGAAAGUCUGAACCAGCCAUGCCGCGUGAAGGAUUAAGGCCCUCUGGGUUGUAAACUUCUUUUAUCUGGGACGAAAAAAGGGUAUUCUUACUCACUUGACGGUACCAGAGGAAUAAGCACCGGCUAACUCCGUGCCAGCAGCCGCGGUAAUACGGAGGGUGCAAGCGUUAUCCGGAUUUACUGGGUUUAAAGGGUGCGUAGGUGGGCUUGUAAGUCAGUGGUGAAAUCUCCGGGCUUAACCCGGAAACUGCCAUUGAUACUAUAGGUCUUGAAUUAUCUGGAGGUAAGCGGAAUAUGUCAUGUAGCGGUGAAAUGCUUAGAUAUGACAUAGAACACCAAUUGCGAAGGCCAGCUUACUACGGAUAUAUUGACACUGAGGCACGAAAGCGUGGGGAUCAAACAGGAUUAGAUACCCUGGUAGUCCACGCCCUAAACGAUGGAUACUCGACAUCAGCGAUACACUGUUGGUGUCUGAGNGAGANAUAGUAUCCACCGNGGAGAGAGCGCGAAGAGUGUUAAGACAAUUAGAGUAGNGNGNGNGAGNGCGACGGACGACGACGAGGGAGGAGG
rnacentral:rRNA from 1 species